rnacentral:rRNA from 1 species
UACGUAGGUGGCCAGCGUUGUCCGGAUUUAUUGGGUUUAAAGGGUGCGUAGGUGGUCUAUUAAGUCAGUGCUGAAAUGUCCCGGCUUAACCGGGAGGGUGGCAUUGAUACUGAUAGACUUGAGUAGAGUUGAGGUAGGCGGAAUUGACGGUGUAGCGGUGAAAUGCUUAGAUAUCGUCAAGAACACCAAUAGCGAAGGCAGCUUACUAAGCUCUAACUGACACUGAUGCACGAAAGUGUGGGGAUCAAACAGG